UGAGAUGAUGAUGGAAAUGGUUUUCCCUAUGUGGUUCGAUUGCUAAUAUGAUGGCGACAAUGUAUUAGCUCUAUCGAUCUCU